rnacentral:rRNA from 1 species
AGGAGCAUGUGGUUUAAUUCGAUGAUACGCGAGGAACCUUACCUGGGCUCGAACGUAAGAUGACUGUAGGUGAAAGCUUACAUCUCUUCGGAGCAUUUUACGAGGUGCUGCAUGGUUGUCGUCAGCUCGUGCCGUGAGGUGUCGGGUUAAGUCCCAUAACGAGCGCAACCCCUACCUUAGUUGCCAUCAGGUUAAGCUGGGGACUCUAAAGGAACUGCCUACGCAAGUAGUGAGGAAGGCGGGGAUGACGUCAAAUCAGCACGGCCCUUACGUCCAGGGCUACACACGUGCUACAAUGGCCGAUACAGAGGGCAGCUACCUGGUGACAGGAUGCAAAUCUCCAAAGUCGGUCUCAGUUCGGAUCGGAGUCUGCAACCCGACUCCGUGAAGUUGGAUUCGCUAGUAAUCGCGCAUCAGCCAUGGCACGGUGAAUACGUUCCCGGGCCUU